rnacentral:rRNA from 1 species
AUUGAACGCUGGCGGCAGGCCUAACACAUGCAAGUCGAGCGGAUGACGGGAGCUUGCUCCUUGAUUCAGCGGCGGACGGGUGAGUAAUGCCUAGGAAUCUGCCUGGUAGUGGGGGACAACGCUUCGAAAGGAACGCUAAUACCGCAUACGUCCUACGGGAGCACGCAGGGGCCCUUCGGGCCUUGCGCUAUCAGAUGAGCCUAGGUCGGAUUAGCUAGUUGGUGGGGAAAUGGCUCACCAAGGCGACGAUCCGUAACUGGUCUGAGAGGAUGAUCAGUCACACUGGAACUGAGACACGGUCCAGACUCCUACGGGAGGCAGCAGUGGGGAAUAUUGGACAAUGGGCGAAAGCCUGAUCCAGCCAUGCCGCGUGUGUGAAGAAGGUCUUCGGAUUGUAAAGCACUUUAAGUUGGGAGGAAGGGCAGUAAGUUAAUACCUUGCUGUUUUGACGUUACCGACAGAAUAAGCACCGGCUAACUCUGUGCCAGCCGCCGCGUAACAC